GCAUUGGUGGUUCAGUGGUAGAAUUCUUGCUUCCCACGCGGGAGUCCUCUGUCUGAUUCCUGGCCAAUGCA
rfam:Danio rerio chromosome 4, GRCz11 reference primary assembly.